rnacentral:rRNA from 1 species
AUUGAACGCUGGCGGCAUGCUUUACACAUGCAAGUCGAACGGUAACAGGUCUUCGGAUGCUGACGAGUGGCGAACGGGUGAGUAAUGCAUCGGAACGUGCCCAGUCGUGGGGGAUAACGCAGCGAAAGCUGCGCUAAUACCGCAUACGAUCUAUGGAUGAAAGCGGGGGACCGUAAGGCCUCGCGCGAUUGGAGCGGCCGAUGUCAGAUUAGGUAGUUGGUGGGGUAAAGGCCCACCAAGCCAACGAUCUGUAGCUGGUCUGAGAGGACGACCAGCCACACUGGGACUGAGACACGGCCCAGACUCCUACGGGAGGCAGCAGUGGGGAAUUUUGGACAAUGGGCGCAAGCCUGAUCCAGCAAUGCCGCGUGCAGGAAGAAGGCCUUCGGGUUGUAAACUGCUUUUGUACGGAACGAAACGGCUCUCUCUAAUACAGAGGGCUAAUGACGGUACCGUAAGAAUAAGCACCGGCUAACUACGUGCCAGCAGCCGCGGUAAGAC